ACGAACGCUGGCGGCGUGCUUAACACAUGCAAGUCGAGCGGUAAGGCCCUUUCGGGGGUACACGAGCGGCGAACGGGUGAGUAACACGUGGGUGACCUGCCCUCAGCUCUGGGAUAAGCCUGGGAAACCGGGUCUAAUACCGGAUAUGACUCCAUGACGCAUGUUGUGGGGUGAAAGCCUUGUGCGGCUGAGGAUGGGCCCG
rnacentral:rRNA from 1 species